AACGUAGGACACAAGCGUUAUCCGGAGUUACUGGGCGUAAAGGGCGUGUAGGCGGAUCGGUAAGUCUGCUCUGAAAGCUCCUGGCUAAACUGGGAGAGGCGAGCGGAGACUGUCGGUCUAGAGUGAGGAAGAGGAAAGUGGAAUUCCGCGUGUAGUGGUGAAAUGCGUAGAGAUGCGGAGGAACACCAGUGGCGAAAGCGGCUUUCUGGUCCUUAACUGA
rnacentral:rRNA from 1 species